rnacentral:rRNA from 1 species
GAGUUUGAUCCUGGCUCAGAACGAACGCUGGCGGCGUGGAUUAGGCAUGCAAGUCGCACGUGAAAGAGGGGCUUGCUCCUCGAGUAAAGUGGCGAACGGGUGAGUAACGCGUGAGAAACCUGCCUUGUAGAGGGGAAUAACACUCCCAACGGAGUGCUAAUACCGCAUGAGCUCGAUGGAUCGCAUGGUUCGUCGAGGAAAGGUGGCCUCUGUUUACAAGCUACCGCUACAAGAGGGUCUCGCGUCCGAUUAGCUAGUUGGCGGUGUAAAAGACCACCAAGGCGACGAUCGGUAGCUGGUCUGAGAGGAUGGUCAGCCACACUGGGACUGAGAGACGGCCCAGACUCCUACGGGAGGCAGCAGUGGGGAAUCUUGCGCAAUGGCCGAAAGGCUGACGCAGCGACGCCGCGUGUGGGAGGAAGCCCUUC